rnacentral:lncRNA from 1 species
UUUGGAGGAUAUAAGGUUUACUUCUAAGGAGAUAAAAAGCAAUUGAUGCUUCCUCAAAAUAAAAAAGUUGACUCCAGCCAUGUUUUUAUUUGUUGAGAAAUAUUCUAUAUCUACACUAUGGGAUACAGACUAACAGUUAUUUACCUGUCUAUUGAGUACUUGUCACCUAGGAGUCAUCAGUAAGUUGCAUCCAUUAAACAAAGAAAAGUCAUUCAACCAGCCAUCUGGAGACAACAUGAGCAAAAAAGAAGAGCAGGAAGCGGGCAAGAAGGGAAACUGUCCUAGAAAGAGAGUAAAGAAGACCAAAGUGAUCAGACAACUAAAUUUGAGAAUAAUUGAAGCUUUAGACUUAGUAAUUUCUGAUGCAACGAUUCCAGGCCUGAUAAAUAUAUAUUAUAUGGCAUGUCAAAGAAAAGUCAUACCAGGCAGAGUUAAAACAGGCAAGGAAAAUUUUAUUCAAGAUUAUUACAACGGGGGAAGAGAUUGAACUCAACUCCACGGAAACAGGAAAGAGAAUUUUUAAGCUCUACGGGCAAAGGUUAACACUGAGGAGAAACUGCUGGAAGUAGAAUCCAAAUUAAGUAAGAGAAGAAACAGAGACCAGAUCCAGGUCCCCACUUGAAUCACUAUAAUUAUUGAAAAUAGCAGCUGAUACGUACCAAUAUAAAACUGAAGACUUGCUAUGACCCAGGAACUCUGGGAAGCAUGUUAUGUAAUUGCAUCUGCCUUCCUUGCUGGACUCUAAGCUCCUUGAGGACAAAGAUGUAUCCAUUGUGCCACUUCUACAUUCUCCAAGCCUAGCAGAGAACCAAGAACUAAGGGCUCAAAAACAUGUGUUGAAUUAAUUAAGAAUAUCACAGCAAAUCCUCUGAAAAACUCAGAGAUAAGUGACAUCAUCAUCCUUAUUUUAUAGAUGACAAACCUGAAAUUUGGGUCAAGAACACAGAGCCUGUGGGUGACAAACAGCAAUCCAAACCAACAAUCAGAUUCCCAAACUUGAAAACUCAUCUACUCUGCCUCACUGAUCAGUUUGUUUGCCCAGUUUCACCAUAAAAGAGUAGGUAAGAUGGGGAGUGAGGAGAGAGACACAAGGAAAAACAUCUCUUGCUUGAGACACCCUCUUCUUUCUUACUCACUUGCCACACAUUCUUUAAGGCUUAUUUCCAGCCCAAAAUUCUCCAAGAAAUCUUUUUGGACCAUACAGCUCUUUUUGUUUCUUCUGAAUACCAGCAGCCCUUAAUAUCCAUUGAAAAGAAUUAAAAAACUACCCCAGCUCUCCUGCAUAGCUCAUUCUUGUUAAGUGUAUGGAGUCCUCUGAAUUUCCCAAAAGCAUGAUAAGGUCCUAAGGGCAAGGUACCCAAUUAUUUUCCCUGUUUGCGGAACAGCACACAGCACAAAAAUGAACACAUGGUUUAGGUUCUUUGUAACUACCUAAGGUCAGAUCAGCUAGAGUGACUAGUUAAUGAUAUACAUAAUAUCAGUAUCAGACCAGGAAUAUCCUUCCUCCUCUCAUUUGUAAAAUUCUCUCAAAUAUCACCCAUUAAAACUGUGGACUUCUUCAUCCUUUUUGUGUUCAUUUAUCUAAAGUGCUAGACAAGCCAGGAGAAUGCCCUGGCCAAAGAAAAUUAAAGGA